AACGCACCUUGCACCCUUUGGUAUUCCGAAGGGUACACCCGUUUGAGUGUCAUUGUAAUCUCACUUCAAAUACUUUUGUGUUUGAAUGUGGACUUGGAUGUUGCCGUGUUAUUACGGCUCGUCUCAAAUGCCUGAGUGUACCUUGCUUUUGCAAUGUAUCCGGUGUAAUAAACAUUUCACCAGAGCCAAGUCGCAAGACUGCAUUACAGAGUAAGCUCUAUGCUUCAAACCGUCCUCUUAGGACAAUCUCUGACAAUUUGACCUCAAAUCGGGUGGGACUACCCGCUGAACUUAA
rnacentral:misc_RNA from 1 species